rnacentral:rRNA from 1 species
GUAAUCACGUGGGCGACCAUGCCUGUAAGACUGGGGAUAACUCCGGGAAACCAGGGGCUAAUACCGGAUAAUAUCUAUUUAUACAUCAUAGAGUUACGAUUGAAGAGAUGGUGUGCUGCUACUCAUCUUAUCUAGUAUGAGGCCACGCGGCGCAUUAGUCUAGUUGGUGAGGUAACAGGCUCACUCAAGGCGACGAUGCGUAGCCGACCUGAGAGGGUGAUCGGCCACACUGGGACUGAGACACGGCCCAGCACUCCUACGGGAGGCAGCAGUAGGGAAUACUUCCGCAAUGGACGAAAGAUACUGACGAGAGCAACGCCGCGUGAGUAGAUGAAGAGUUGUUCGGAUGCAGUAAAACUCUGUUGUUAGGGAAGAACAACGUACCGGAGUAACUGCCGGUACCUUGACGGUACCUAACCAGAAAGCCACGGCUAACUACGUGCCAGCAGCCGCGGUAAUACGUAGGUGGCAAGCGUUGUCCGGAAUUAUUGGGCGUAAAGCGCGCGCAGGCGGUUCUUUAAGUCUGAUGUGAAAGCCCACGGCUCAACCGUGGAGGGUCAUUGGAAACUGGGGAACUUGAGUGCAGAAGAGGAAAGUGGAAUUCCAAGUGUAGCGGUGAAAUGCGUAGAGAUUUGGAGGAACACCAGUGGCGAAGGCGACUUUUCUGGUCUGUAACUGAC